rnacentral:misc_RNA from 1 species
CUUUACACAAAUAUUUAAGUCACUAUAGCGAGCCUUGCAAAAAAACUGAAUUAGAACAAGUCCCUUGUGACAGCCCUUUAAGAAUCCAGAAUAUUCUCGAGUUAGUUUUACCUUAUGAACGAUUUACUAUUGAAAAAAAAACUAGUUCAAACGGUAAAAGAUAAACCUUGGACGACAAGGUUACCUCUAUACCGAGACCUUGCCAGCGGUACCAUACCCACCGCAGUCACAAUUUUGGACAGUACCGAAAAAUCCGUUCAUUCUUCGAUAACAUUUCGGGCGGGAAACAGAUCCACUCGCCCCACCGAAAAAAACCCAAACCGUAGUAGCACGUAGUGGAGAACGAGGAAAAAAAAACAAAACAAGACAGAAAAAAAAAAGAAAGAAAAUCCUUCUCCGGCGCGCCGAACAUCGUGGUAGGCCGAGGAACGCGCUUCUCACUCUUCGCACCGCGCUCAGUUGUUUUAGUAACGCGUUCGCGUUGCGCAAACUUAAGUUGGCUGUGCGCGAUAGUCGGACGGACGGGACUAACGACCGCGCCAAUUCGUUUGUCUUUUGUUUUUUUUUUUUUUUGGUUUUUCGAAAAAGCCGGCAAUUGUUUUUUUUUGGAUUUUUGAAAAAAUUGCUUUGAAAGGGAGCUCUUAACGUGGAUGGAUAAUUGGACAAGUGGAAAAGUGGGAUUUUUCUAUUGUGCCGACUGAAUGAUAUUUGGGAAUUGUUGCAUUGGUGGUGUGAGAGAGGAUACGAUUUUUUUUCAACUCCUAGAGUGUUGUGAUUGGUUACUUUUAUAAGUUGGAUUAUCGUGCUUUUUUUGAUAUUGGAUUAACUACUUUUAUGAUGGAUAAUUUUGGAUCUACAAAAAACCAGCGUUCAUGUUUUGGAGACGGUUCCAGAUCCAUAGGGAUAUAUCAAGGUGUCUGAAACCAGUGGUCCUUCAACAGUUGCCGUUAGGAUAGCAGCAAAGAUCAGCCCCCACGUACUGCCCCUUGGCGGGGGGCAAGAAUAUCCAAUGUCCGCUCUGGCGAUGCCCUUUAUCGAUAACGAUCUUCUAUGGAGUAGUGAUCACGAUGGCAAAAUGGUCGAUUUAUCCUCUUGUUUACAGGACGCCUCAGUGGCAAUUGGUACUCAAUCGCCUGCAACUAGUGCUAGUUCUACAGCUUUGGGCGAGUUAUGCCAGUCUGAUUUGACCAACUUCGUUCCUCCGAUGACGCAUGAAGGGGUGGCCGAUAACGCUCCCAUGGGGGAUGCUGAUGAUAUUUUUAAGCAUCUUAGUGAUACCACCGCUAUUGAGAUCGAGCAUAUAUUAAGCGAGUUCAAUACGACCUAUAUUAAGCAGGAAGAAAACAACAACACGAUCGCCAAUGACCAGUGCAGUAGUAGUAACCCGGACUCUCCGCAGAGGUCGCCGUCGAUCGCCGAGCUGGGGCGUAAGUUCACCAUCGCGGCGGCCAACCCGAUCUUGGCGGAGAAACUGGCGACGCCUAGCGAUCAGAGUUUGAACUUGACGACGGCGCAUGCGUCCACGGACGGCAGGCAGUUGGCCACGCUCACGCCAAAAGUAGAGAAAGUUGAUAAGGAACAAAACAACUACCUGCACCAAUUGCUGUCGAGGCAAAGGAGUGAUAUCCAGCAUCCGUCCCUAUGCGAUUAUACCAGAAGAAAGGCUGUUUUUCCUAACACCACAGGAUCGUUACCGCCCAGCCCGGCGGACUCGGGCGUUUCGGACGUGGACAGUUCAUCUUCAGGGCACACGUCUACCGAUGAAUUGAAGGCGAGACUGCAGCCGUCGAUUCAUUCGCCUGUAGGCGGACUGUUUCCCAGGCAUCCCGCUUUAACGUGGAACACACCGUUACACCAGCAUGGCCAGAGGCAGAUGGGUCAACAGUUUUACCAACCGUUUUCCACGAAUUUGGACCCCUAUCAAAACUACCUGCUACAAGCUCAACAUCACCACGUGUCGACGCACCCCCACCAGUCGAUGCAUCAACAUCACCCGCAUAACCAGCACCCGUCGCCCUUCACCACCCCAACCCCGCCGUCCCCACCGCUCAGACACCACUCGGGGAUUCCCACGUCGGUGAUACAGGCGGCCACCAGUUCCGUCUACGACGACCCCUACCUACUGGGAUUCUCACCCAGGAAACUGAAGAAGGUGAAGAAACAAAGGCUUGGCGAGCCCGGUACUGCCCCCAAACGGAAAAGUCGCGAGGGUUCGACGACGUACCUAUGGGAAUUUUUGCUCAAACUGCUCCAGGACCGCGAGUACUGUCCGAGGUACAUCAAGUGGACAAAUAGGGAGAAGGGGGUGUUCAAACUGGUCGACUCCAAGGCGGUUUCAAGGCUAUGGGGGAUGCACAAGAAUAAACCAGAUAUGAACUACGAGACAAUGGGGAGGGCGUUAAGAUACUACUACCAAAGGGGUAUUUUAGCCAAAGUGGAUGGGCAACGUCUCGUAUACCAAUUCGUAGAAGUACCAAAAGACAUCGUAGAAAUAGACUGUACGGGGGCGGCGUGAACUUAAAAACACAACUGCCAAUAACUGCCCUAAUACUCAGCCCUACUACUAAAUCUGCCCAGUCGAAAGUACAAUUAUGGUUCUUAAAGACUAUUUUGAUAAGCAUAGUUUACAUACAACGUAGCGGCAAAUUGUGAAUCUUACAACGAAUUAAGAGGAUCCAGAGUUUAUUUAGGAGAAUUUCUUGAUGGAGGGAUAUCGUGGGCCCUGUUGACCAUCUACCACCCCUCCUAACGCCCGGAAGACUGCAAAAAAGAAUUUUACGUAGAAGAUUUUUUUGUACUGUAGAUCUCCUUAUUUAUAACAAGUAACGCGGUUCGAAAAGUGUGAGACGAAAAAUAUUGAUGAAUUUUACUAUUAAAGGUUGUGGUAAUUUAUAAGAGUUUAAUCAUUUGUUUUUUAUGGGUUUGUUACUGGAUGGAUGUCUGAGGACCAAAAUGCGUUUUUUUCCUUGUCAGCCCGUGAGUAUAUUAGAUAAAUAUAUAUUUUUUGGAAAUGUGGUUUAACAAAAAGGUGAAUUUUUGAAUUAUUUUUUGUGUGGUUCUCAUAUUUAGAGCACCCUAUUAUAUUGUUUAAAAAAUAAAUUAUUGUAAAAAGGAUUUUCCAGUUUCGAUAAGAGUAUUUUUAAAGUGUUGGCAGUUCCGGUCAUAACAGAAAUAGGAGCUAACUUCCUUAUUUUAAAUAAGAGGCUGUAUAUAUUUGUGCAUUUUUGGAUUCUCCGUAAAAUUCUAAGACAUUUAAUGGUCACAUGAUAUACUUUGGAGAAGUACUUUUUGAGAUAUAUUGUAUUAAAGAAAUAUCAUAUUUUAUAAGUUGACGUUGGUUUUCGGUAUAAUUGUAGUAUGCUGUUUUUAAUGUUAUUAAAUAGUGUUUUUCAAGGUGGCCUGAAUAAUUAACAAAAUUUUCAAAUUAGUAGCACUUCCGGUUUUACCGGAAAUAGGUGCUUAAUUUCCUAUUUUUAAUAGGAGACUCUAUAUAUUUAGAUCUAUAUAUAUUUGGCUUCUACAUGAAAUUUCAUGAAGUGUAUGACGUUUAUUUCCAGUUUAUCAAUAUUAUAGACAUUUCAAAAAUUCCUAAAAAAUAAGUUUAGGUCCAAGUAAAGACCCAGAAAUUAAGAGUCAAAAUUACCCGAUGAAAAAAAUUAUAAUUGACAAAAACGCUUUUGAAAAUUCUCAAAAAAAAUAUUUAGGACCGCUGUAUAGGAUUGAAAUUUUGUAUGUUUUAGCCAAGGGCUUAUACUAACUUUUUUUAAAGAAUCAUUUUUUUCUAAAUCUACAGGAUGUCCCAGAAAUUAAGAGUCAAAUUUAUCCAAUGAAAAAAAUACAAUUGACAAAAGCACUUUUGAAAAUUUUCAAAAAAAAUUAUUUAGGACUGCUGUAUAGUGUUGAAAUUUUAGUAUGUUUUAGUCAAGGGGUUAUACUAACUUUUUUUUCAAAACCAAAUUUUUCUAAAUGUACAGGAUGUUCCAGAAAUUAAGGGUUAAAGUUAUCCAAUGAAAAAAACUACAAUUGACAAAAGAACUUUUGAAAAUUCUCAAAAAAAAAAUAAUGGGACCGCUGUACAGGGUUGAGAUUUUAGUAUGUUUUAGACAAAGGGUUAUACUAACUUUUCUUUUAAAAUCACAUUUUUUCUAAAUGUACAGGAUGUCCCAGAAAUUAAGGGUCAAAAUUAUCCAUUGAAAAAAACUACAAUUGACAAAAGCACUUUUGAAAAAUUCUCAAAAAAAUAUUUAGGACUGCUGUACAGGGUUGUAAUUUUAGUAUGUUUUAGUCAAGGGCUUAUACUAACUUUUCUUAAUGAAUCAAUUUUUUUCUUAAUCUACAGGAGGUCCCAGAAAUUAAGGGUCAAAUUUAUCGACUGAAAAAAACUACAAUUGACAAAAGCACUUUUAAAAAUUCUCAAAAAAAUAUUUAGGACCGCUGUACACGAUUAAAAUUUUAGUAUGUUUUAGUCCAGGGCUUAUACUAUUUUUCUUAAAGAAUUACUUUUUUUCUAAAUGUACAGCAUGUCCCAGAAAUUAAGGGUCAAAUUUAUCCAAUGAAAAAAACUACAAUUGACAAAAACACUUUUGAAAAUUCUCAAAAAAAUAUAUUUAGGACCCCUGAACAGGGUUAAAAUCUUAGUAUGUUUUAGUCAAGGGCUUAUGCUAACUUUUUUUAAAAAAUUUUUUUUUUCCUAAUGUACAGGAUGUCCCAGAAAUUAAGGGUCAAAUUUAUCCAAUGAAAAAAACUACAAUUGACAAGAGCACUUUUGAAAAUUAAAAAAAAUAUAUAUUUAGGACUGCUGUACAGGGUUGAAAUUUUAGUAUGUUUUAGUCAAGGGUUUAUACUAGUUUCUCCAUAAGAAUUAAUUUUUUUUAUGUACAAGAUGCCCCAGAAAUUAAGAGUCAAAGUUAUCCAAUGAAAAAACUACAAUUGACAAGAGCACUUUUGAAAAAUUUUAAAAAAAUAUUUAAGACCGCUGUACAGGGUUAAAAUUUUAGUAUGUUUUAGCCAAGGGCUUAUACUAACUUUUCUUAAAGAAUCAUUUUUUUUCUAAAUCUACAGGAUGUCCCAGAAAUUAAGGGUCAAAGUUAUCCAAUGAAAAAAACUACAAUUGACAAAAGCACUUUUGAAAAUUCUCAAAAAAAUAUUUAGGACCACUGUACAGGAUUGAAAUUUUAGUAUGUUUUAGCCAAGGGCUUAUACUUACUUUUCGUAAAGAAUCAAUUUUUUUCUAAAUCUAUAGGAUGUCCCAGAAAUUAAGGGUCAAAUUUAUCCAAUGAAAAAAACUACAAUUGACAAAAGCACUUUUGAAACUUCUCAAAAAAAAUUAUUUAGGACUGCUGUAUAGGGUUGAAAUUUUAGUAUGUUUUAGUCAAGGGGUUGUACAAACUUUUUUUUUAAAACCAAAUUUAUCUAAAUAUACAGGAUGUCCCAGAAAUGAAGGGUCAAAGUUAUCCAAUGAAAAAAAACUACAAUUGACAAAAGAACUUUUGAAAAUUCUCAAAAAAAAUAUUUGGGACCGCUGUACAGGGUUGAGAUUUUAGUAUGUUUUAGUCAAGGGUUUAUACUAACUUUUUUUUAAAACAAAAUUUUUUCUAAAUGUAUAGGAUAUCCCAGAAAUUAAGGGUCAAAAUUACCGAAUGAAAAAAACUAUAAUUGACAAAAGCACUUUCGAAAAAUUUAAAAAAAAAAAUAUUUAGGACCGCUGUACAGGGUUGAAAUUUUAGUAUGCUUUAGUCAAGGGCUUAUACUAACUUCUCUUUAAAACUAAAUUUUUUUUAAAUAUACAGGAUGUGCCAGAAAUUAAGGGUCAAAGUUAUCCAAUGAAAAAAACUACAAUUGAAAAAAGCACUUUUGAAAAUUCUCAAAAAAAUAUUUAGGACCGCUGUACAGGAUUGAAAUUUUAGUAUGUUUUAGCCAAGGGCUUAUACUAACUUUUCGUAACGAAUCAAUUUUUUUUUAAUCUACAGGAUGUCCCAGAAAUUAAGGGUCAAAUUUAUCCAAUGAAAAAAACUACAAUUGACAAAAGCACUUUUGAAACUUCUCAAAAAAAAUUAUUUAGGACUGCUGUAUAGGGUUGAAAUUUUAGUAUGUUUUAAUCAAGGGGUUAUACUAACUUUUUUUUUAAAACCAAAUUUAUCUAAAUGUACAGGAUGUCCCAGAAAUGAAGGGUCAAAGUUAUCCAAUGAAAAAAAACUACAAUUGACAAAAGAACUUUUGAAAAUUCUCAAAAAAAAUAUUUGGGACCGCUGUACAGGGUUGAGAUUUUAGUAUGUUUUAGUCAAGGGCUUAUACUAACUUCUCUUUAAAACUAAAUUUUUUUUUAAAUAUACAGGAUGUGCCAGAAAUUAAGGGUCAAAGUUAUCCAAUGAAAAAAACUACAAUUGAAAAAAGCACUUUUGAAAAUUCUCAAAAAAAUAUUUAGGACCGCUGUACAGGAUUGAAAUUUUAGUAUGUUUUAGCCAAGGGCUUAUACUAACUUUUCGUAAAGAAUCAAUUUUUUUCUAAAUCUAUAGGAUGUCCCAGAAAUUAAGGGUCAAAUUUAUCCAAUGAAAAAAACUACAAUUGACAAAAGCACUUUUGAAACUUCUCAAAAAAAAUUAUUUACGACUGCUGUAUAGGGUUGAAAUUUUAGUAUGUUUUAGCCAAGGGCUUAUACUAACUUUUCGUAACAAAUCAAUUUUUUUUUAAUCUACAGGAUGUCCCAGAAAUUAAGGGUCAAAUUUAUCCAAUGAAAAAAACUACAAUUGACAAAAGCACUUUUGAAAAUUCUCAAAAAAAUAUAUUUAGGACCGCUGUACAGGGUUGAGAUAUUAGUAUGUUAUAGACAAAGGGUUAUACUAACUUUUCUUUAAAAAUCACAUUUUUUCUAAAUGUACAGGAUGUUCCAGAAAUUAAGGGUCAAAUUUAUCCAUUGAAAAAAACUACAAUUGACAAAAACACUUUUGAAAAAUUAAAAAAAAAAUAUUUAGGACUGCUGUACAGGGUUAAAAUUUUAGUAUGUUUUAGUCAAGGGGUUAUACUAACUUUUUUUUUUUAAACAAAAUUUUUCUAAAUGUACAGGAUGUUCCAGAAAUUAAGGGUCAAAUUUAUCCAAUGAAAAAAACUACAACUGACAAAAGCACUUUUGAAAAUUUUCAAAAAAAAAUAUUUAGGACCGCUGUACAGGGUUAAAAUUUUAGUAUGUUUUAGUCAAGGGCUUAUGCUAACUUUUUUUUAGAAAAAUUUUUUUUCCUAAUGUACAGGAUAUCCAAAAAAUUAAGGGUCAAAAUUCAUCAUGUAUCGCAUGUGACCCCUCUCAUUAGAAUUUCACGUAGUAAAAAUAUACACGGUGUCGAUUUAAAAAUAACAAAGUUGCCAUUUACUUUCUGUUUAUCAACAUUAUAUGUUAAUUUCUAAAGGCAAAUAAAAAUGUUUAAAAGAUCGCCUGUUCUAUUUACAUCAUUUUCAAGAAAACAGCUAUUCCAGAAAUACGUGCUAACUUCCUUAUUCUAUAUAGUACACCUUGUAUAUUUUUACAUAUUUGGAUUCUACGUGAAAUUUUAAGAAAUCUGAUGGGUCACAUCACAUACUUUGGCAAAAUGGUUUUUGAGAUAAAAACAGUUGAAAACCAUAAAUGUUUUAAAAUUUUUCCAAAAACAACUUUUUAAUUUAAUUAAAAUCCGGAUUAGUAAAUAAUUGCUAAAAAUAAACAUGAAAACUAUUGCUUACUUCUUUAAAACAAUUCGAUUUUAUAACCUUUAAUUUUUUUAAAAUUAAUUAUAUCUCGCAAACUCUUUGAGUAAAGUAUGGCAUGUGACCCCUCAAAUUUUUUAAAAUUUUACGUAGAAACCGAAGAUACUAAAAUAAAUACGGUUUUACAAAGACAAUUUCGAAAUUAACUAGUUUCUUCCAGUAAAAAAAUAUUAUUUUUACUGGAUUACCUUAUAUAUUAAUACGUCUUCAUAUUCUAUGUAAAAUUCCAUUAAUUUUGAGGGGUCACUCGAUAUACUUUAAUAGACGGGUUUUUAAGAUAUAAGUCCUUUUUAUGAUUUUUAACCGCUUAUAUCUCCUGAACCGUUUGACGAAAGUAUAUCAUGUGACCCAUCAAAUUUCUUGGCAUUUCACGUAGAAUCCAAAAAUGCAAAAAUAUACAAAGUGUACUAUAUAAAAUAAAAGAGUUAGCACCUGUUUUCUGUAUAUCAGAAAGUGUUGCAUAAAAAUCUAAUAACAUAUAAGGUGUCCCAUAUAAAAUAAUCCAAUUUUCUACUAAUAAAGUUUCAAAAAAAAAUGUUUGUUAAACCACAUUGUACGUGCAAUAUACAUACAUUACUAACUUAUAGUCCAUAAAACUACUUAAAGUACAAAACCAAGUCAAAUUAAGUUCAUCCACAGUUUUUUUGGUGCUCGGUUUAGGAAAUUUUACAAAAUGGAAAUUAGACUGCGUCGGUGCCUACGGAAUGAAACAAAAAAAACUUAUAGGAAGAUUGUUAGGUUACGAUAUUAUUAAUAAUGAUUAUUGCUCUCUUUUCACUCAAUGAAUUUAGAAAAAGAAAAAAAAAUGAUCUCCCUUAUAAAAAUGUACAUAAAUGUGUACUUAUUCAUGUCAUGUCAAUGUCUAAAAUUGUUCUUUUUAUUUGUUUAUUUAUGUGAUGGUACUGCCACGAUUUAAAUAUUUUUGUAUAUUCUUGUAUAGUAUUUAUUAAUUUUUUUUAUUUAAAAGGUGAAUUUUCAAAUUAGCAGCCCCCCCUUCACUCUCACCAUACGUACCUAAAAACGUGUCUUUUUUAGAGAAAUUUACCCCAGCAAAUCGACAAAAGUUCAAAUUAAAAAUCAGGUGUUUUUUAUAUAAUAAAUUAUAUCGAGAAACGUUUUUUAUACAUAAUGAUAGAUUUAGUAACUGUUAAAUGUUCUAAAUAUAAUGUGUUACUUAAAUGGGAUCUAAUAUACAAAAUUUAAACCCAUAAAUGUUGUCCUCUAUAUCUAUACAAUGUCCCAUUUUCGAUGUUACGAUGGAAUAUUCCUAAGUGUCCCUACUAUAUUAUAAAUUAAUUAAAUGAAGAUUGCUAAAUGUAAAUUUAUAUCGGUGAUAAAUGUUAUAUAUAAAUAAUUGUUUGUAAAUAUUAGAUAGAUUUUUAUCGUAUUGCAAAAACAGAACACUAUUUUUCAGUACGUUUUAUUUUUGUGGACGGACGAGAGGUGAAUAAUUGCGUUUUUAAAUAACUAUUGUAAAUGUUUAUAUUUAAAUUAAGUGAGUACUUUUAUUAUAUAUAUAGUUUAUGUAAUAUUUUUGUCUUUACAAAAUAAAUAACACUAGAAAGUA